CUCAGAUAAACAGCAGCAGUGCGUAUGUUCUGUAAAUAGCCACAAGUGAGACCUGAAAUCAGCCUCUUUCAUCUGAAUCCAGGGGCAGCAAGCUGAGGGGUCUUUGGGCUGCUGGGCUGAUUCUAUAAGAACCCCUCUGGUUCGGAGCUGCAGGAGUCCCUCCCAUUUAUAUUGGUGUUCCUCUUUUACCAUUUUGGCUUCUUGCUCAUACCUAUUUUCUCUUAGUUCCAAUCUCAGCGAAUGGAAUAGAUUCUACAAAGUCAAGCAGAAUAUUCCCUCUUGUCUGACUUCUCACAAGUAUGCUAAGGUACCCUGUCAGCCGAACCAAAGGGAAGACUUCCCCUUCCUGAUUCUCUGCUAUCUGUCGCAUUCAGAGAAGGAC
rnacentral:lncRNA from 1 species